AACGAACGCUGGCGGCAUGCCUAACACAUGCAAGUCGAACGAGACCUUCGGGUCUAGUGGCGCACGGGUGCGUAACGCGUGGGAACCUGCCCUUAGGUUCGGAAUAACUCCCCGAAAGGGGUGCUAAUACCGGAUAAUGUCUUCGGACCAAAGAUUUAUCGCCUUUGGAUGGGCCCGCGUUGGAUUAGCUAGUUGGUAGGGUAAAAGCCUACCAAGGCGACGAUCCAUAGCUGGUCUGAGAGGAUGAUCCGCCACACUGGGACUGAGACACGGCCCAGACUCCUACGGGAAGCAGCAGUGGGGAAUAUUGGACAAUGGGCGAAAGCCUGAUCCAGCAAUGCCGCGUGAGUGAUGAAGGCCUUAGGGUUGUAAAGCUCUUUUACCCGGGAUGAUAAUGACAGUACCGGGAGAAUAAGCGCCGGCUAACUCCGUG
rnacentral:rRNA from 1 species